rnacentral:rRNA from 1 species
CCUACGGGAGGCAGCAGUGAGGAAUAUUGGUCAAUGGACGAGAGUCUGAACCAGCCAAGUAGCGUGAAGGAUGACUGCCCUAUGGGUUGUAAACUUCUUUUUUAUGGGAAUAAAAUGUUCCACGUGUGGGAUUUUGUAUGUACCAUAUGAAUAAGGAUCGGCUAACUCCGUGCCAGCAGCCGCGGUAAUACGGAGGAUCCGACCGUUAUCCGGAUUUAUUGGGUUUAAAGGGGGCGUAGGUGGAUUGUUAAGUCAGGUGUGAAAGUUUGCGGCUCAACCGUAAAAUUGCAGUUGAAACUGGCAGUCUUGAGUACAGUAGAGGUGGGCGGAAUUCGUGGUGUAGCGGUGAAAUGCUUAGAUAUCACGAAGAACUCCGAUUGCGAAGGCAGUUCACUGGACUGCAACUGACACUGAGGCUCGAAAGUGUGGGUAUCAAACAGGAUUAGAUACCCGAGUAGUC